UAACUACUCCCUCCGUCCGGAAAUACUUGUCGAAAAAAUGAUAAAAAUGGAUGUAUCUAGAACUAAAAUCCAUCUAGAUACAUUCAUUUCUCCGACAAGUAUUUCCGGACGGAGGGAGUACUAG
rfam:Triticum aestivum genome assembly, contig: Triticum_aestivum_CS42_TGACv1_scaffold_603860_7DL